rnacentral:rRNA from 1 species
UACAGAGGUCCCAAGCGUUGUUCGGAUUCACUGGGCGUAAAGGGUGCGUAGGCGGUCGGGUAAGUCUGAUGUGAAAUCUCACAGCUUAACUGUGAAACUGCAUUGGAUACUAUCCGGCUCGAGGAAUGGAGGGGAGACUGGAAUACUUGGUGUAGCAGUGAAAUGCGUAGAUAUCAAGCGGAACACCGGUGGCGAAGGCGGCCUUCUGGACAGUGACUGACGCUGAGACGCGAAAGCGUGGGGAGCAAACAGG